rnacentral:lncRNA from 1 species
CUAUGAGAAAUUUCUGCAAAUUCUGAAAUUCUUCUCAACUUAGCAAAUGCUUGCCAAAGUCACUUCUUCUCUCAACUCUCUCCCACCUCUUAGCUUUCUUCCAACAAUGGAGGCUGCCUGAAGCUAGGACCACACCACCUCCUUCUCUGCCGUCACAGCCACUCACUACAUCUCAUCCUUUUCCACUGCCGGUUGCUGGAAUUCCUUCUCUUCCAAUUUCCAAUUUCACGCACACAAUGGAGAGGCUUAUCAGGAGUGUACAUGCAACCAACCCUCAUAUUCCUAUGUCUAGGCAUUACUACCUUUGGGAGAAUUUUCCCAGUUCUAGAC